rnacentral:rRNA from 1 species
AGGAAGAGAAAAUAAAUGAAUGAUUCCCCCAGUAGUGGCGAGCGAACGGGGAACAGCCCAAACCGUUGACGUCGCAAGGCGCCAGCGGGGUUGUAGGACCGCGACAUUGUAUGCAAAUCGUGAACAGAACACUUUGGAAAAUGUGACCAUAGACGGUGAUAGUCCAGUAUGUGAAGCGAAAUGCAGCAUAGCGGUAUCCUGAGUAACGCGGGACACGAGGAAUCCUGCGCGAAUCUGCCGGGACCAUCCGGUAAGGCUAAAUACUCCCGUGAGACCGAUAGCGAACGAGUACUGUGAAGGAAAGGUGAAAAGAACCCCGAGCAGGGGAGUGAAAUAGUUCCUGAAACCAUACGCCUACAAGCGGUCGGAGCAUCUUACGAUGUGACGGCGUGCCUUUUGCAUAAUGAUCCUACGAGUUACCGUCACUGGCGAGGUUGAGUGUCAUGAGACACGUAGCCGCAGUGAAAGCGAGCCUGAAUAGGGCGCAUAGUCAGUGGGGGUAGACGCGAAACCAAGUGAUCUACACUUGGCCAGGAUGAAGUCCCGGUAACACGGGAUGGAGGUCCGCACCAAUAAGCGUUGAAAAGCUUCUGGAUGAGCCGAGUGUAGGAGUGAAAGGCCAAUCAAACUUGGAGAUAGCUCGUACUCCCCGAAAGGCAUUUAGGUGCCGCGUCGGAUGGUCACCGUGAGAGGUAGAGCGACCGAUAGGACAAGAGGGCUUCACCGCCUAUCGAGUCCUGACGAACUCCGAAUGCUCACGGUCUGCAGUCCGGCAGUAAGGGGGCGGGUGCUAAGGUCCGUCCCCGAGAGGAGAAGAAUCCAGACCGCCGUCUAAGGUCCCGGAGUUCUGCCUGAGUUAGUCUAACGAAGUCUGGUCCCUAUGACAGCUAGGAUGUUGGCUUGGAAGCAGCCAUUCAUUCAAAGAGUGCGUAACAGCUCACUAGUCGAGGGUCCGGGCAUGGAUAAUAAUCGGGUAUAAGGCAGACACCGAAGGCGCGGGAUAGCAUUUAAGAAAGUAUCGGUAGGGGAGCAUACUCACAGCGUGGAAUGGUGUACGUAAGUUAUCCUGGAGCGGUGAGUAAAGCAAAUGUAGGAAUAAGUAACGAUAAGGAGGGUUAGAUUCCCUCCCGCUGUAAGACCAAGGUUUCCCGGGCAAUGCCAAUCAGCCCGGGGUCAGUCGGGUCCUAAGUCUAAGCCGAACGGCGAUGGCGAUGGCAGAGACGGUUAAUAUUCCGUCACUGCCGCAUGGGGCGACGUGGAGACGGAGCAGUGAAACCACCGCGGGGCGACGGAAGUCCCCGUUGAAGAGUGUAGGUGUUGAGGAUGGCAGGCAAAUCCACCGUCCGAGCUGAACUUGAUAGUAUGGAGUCUUCUUCGGAAGAAUCCAAUAGUGUGGGUAAUCAUACUCCCGAGAAAAUCCGCUAAGCUUAACCCAUGCGGCACCCGUACCGCAAACGGACACACGUGGUCGGGUAGAACAUACUAAGGCGUUGAGAGAUUCAUGGUUAAGGAACUAGGCAAAUUGACCCUGUAACUUCGGGAUAAAGGGUCCUCGUGAUGAGCGAGGCGCAGAGAAUAGGUCCAGGCAACUGUUUAACAAAAACACAGGGCUGUGCAAACUCGAAAGAUGACGUAUACAGCCUGACACCUGCCCGGUGCCGGAAGGUUAAGAGGAGAUGUCACUCGCAAGAGGAAGCAUUGAAUUGAAGCCCCGGUAAACGGCGGCCGUAACUAUAACGGUCCUAAGGUAGCGAAAUUCCUUGUC